GGACGCGGUGUGCCGUGACGUAAAAGCUUUUAAGUCUUUGUCUUGAGGACUUCUGAAAACCCGACCCAACCCCGCCGUUUUAACCCGCGGGCCCCUGUCACUCGCUCGGGUGACCUUGGCCAACUCAGCUGGAUCUCGAGGCAGCUUGCGGGCAUAUGCUCACGCCAACACAACCCCGAACGCACGUCGGCCCUCGACCGGGAGUAGUGAUCCCGAGCGAGGGCCUGACCACCAAGGAAGUUGGCCCUUCCCG
rnacentral:ncRNA from 1 species